rnacentral:rRNA from 1 species
UAUCGGAUUGAUACUAAGCCAUGCGAGUCAUUGCAGUAAUGCAAGGCAGACGGCUCAGUAACGCGUAGUCAACCUACCCUAUGGACGGGAAUAACCUCGGGAAACUGAGUAUAAUGCCCGAUAGAACACUAUUCCUGGAAUGGUUUGUGUUCCAAAUGAUUUAUCGCCGUAGGAUGGGACUGCGGCCUAUCAGUUUGUUGGUGAGGUAAUGGCCCACCAAGACUAUUACAGGUACGGGCUCUGAGAGGAGUAGCCCGGAGAUGGGUACUGAGACACGGACCCAGGCCCUAUGGGGCGCAGCAGGCGAGAAAACUUUGCAAUGUGCGAAAGCACGACAAGGUUAAUCCGAGUGGUUUGUGCUAAACGAACCUUUUGACAGUCCUAGAAACACUGUUGAAUAAGGGGUGGGCAAGUUCUGGUGUCAGCCGCCGCGGUAAAACCAGCACCUCAAAUGGUCAGGAUGAUUAUUGGGCCUAAAGCAUCCGUAGCCGGCUCUGUAAGUUUUCGGUUAAAUCUGUACGCUCAACGUACAGGCUGCCGGGAAUACUGCAGAGCUAGGGAGUGGGAGAGGUAGACGGUACUCGGUAGGAAGGGGUAAAAUCCUUUGAUCUAUUGAUGACCACCUGUGGCGAAGGCGGUCUACCAGAACACGUCCGACGGUGAGGGAUGAAAGCUGGGGGAGCAAACCGGAUUAGAUACCCGGGUAGUCCCAGCUGUAAACUAUGCAAACUCAGUGAUGCAUUGGCUUGUGGCCAAUGCAGUGCUGCAGGGAAGCCGUUAAGUUUGCCGCCUGGGAAGUACGUACGCAAGUAUGAAACUUAAAGGAAUUGGCGGGGGAGCACCACAAGGGGUGAAGCCUGCGGUUCAAUUGGAUUC